rnacentral:rRNA from 1 species
GAUGAACGCUGGCGGCGUGCCUAAUACAUGCAAGUCGAGCGAACAGACGAGGAGCUUGCUCCUCUGACGUUAGCGGCGGACGGGUGAGUAACACGUGGAUAACCUACCUAUAAGACUGGGAUAACUUCGGGAAACCGGAGCUAAUACCGGAUAAUAUAUUGAACCGCAUGGUUCAAUAGUGAAAGACGGUUUUGCUGUCACUUAUAGAUGGAUCCGCGCCGCAUUAGCUAGUUGGUAAGGUAACGGCUUACCAAGGCGACGAUGCGUAGCCGACCUGAGAGGGGGAUCGGCCACACUGGAACUGAGACACGGCCCAGACUCCUACGGGAGGCAGCAGUAGGGAACCUUCGGCAAUGGGCGAAAGCUGGACGGAGCAACGCCGCGUGAGUGAUGAAGGUCUUCGGAUCGUAAAACUCGGUUAUUAGGGAAGAACAAAUGUGUAAGUAACUAUGCACGUCUUGACGGUACCUAAUCAGAAAGCCACGGCUAACUACGUG